AUGAUGAUGGCUGGAAUUACCAUGGCAGCAGUGGAAGUGGCAGAAGUGAGAAUUCUGAUUAUAUUGUAAAGAUGCUGUCCGCAGGGUUUGCUAGUGGACUGGGUGUGCAGCAAGAGAGAAAAGAGGGGACAACGAGAACUACAUCAACUAGGAGAGUGAGAAUGGUGAUGUCAUUCCUAAGAAGGGGAAGCCUACAAGAGGAGUUAGUUUGGCAGAAGGGAAAAUAAUCAAGAUUUGUUUUAGACAUGGGUCAGCUCUGCUUCACCCCUGCUUUUGUAUGGAGUUCCAUCUGGGGGGAUUUCGCCCCCUGUUCCAGUCCUGAGGCCUCCUGACCCUGACAUUGUGAUACACUCCACAGAGAUCUGUUUCUUACAUUAUUAUUAUUGGAAAUAAUUAUUGUAAUAUUAUUAUGUAAUAAAUUUAUAAGAAAAAAUCCCAACAGGAUUCAUUUUUACACUAAAAAUUGAAUAUUUUGACAUUUGUAUUUA
rnacentral:lncRNA from 1 species